GUACCACUGGGUAGGGGGCGUCUAUUUUGGAACAAACCAUUGUGUGGGCUGCGGAGGCCAUAAGGGCUGCUACCACCCCCGUGCAAGGGGUUUCUGCCCAAGCCCCCGAUGGAGGCAGGAGUGGCACUACCUUCACCGUCCGCAGCCCCUGCCCAUCCUUCCGGUUCCCAUCCAAGUCCCAGAUAUUGAACCAGCCCUGCAUCCCAGGUGUAAAUCCCACUUGGUCGUGUGUGAAAUAUGAGUGCACGAGUAAGAUCAAGAUCUAGAGGAAAGGGAGAUGGAAAAAAGUCUUCUAAGCAGGAAGAACCUGUGGUUGCUAAACAACCAGGUGAAAAAACAUCACAGCAAAAGGAACUACCAACUGAGAAUCCAGAUAUUGAGACUGGGCAAAUGAAAGAAGGAGCACCUGUGGCUCAAGAACCUGAACUGGAAAGUGAAACCCAGGGAAUGGGUCUGGAAAAGACUGGAGCUGAGCAUGUAGAUUGCCCUGAGGUGAGAAAGGAAGACUCCACCUAAUCCAGCACCUGCUAAAAUUCCAGAAGCAUGUGAUGAACAGUCAUAUGUUCAAAAGAAGACAAGCUGAAGCCAUACAUAUGCUUUGUUAUGUUGAUAAUUUGGCUUAAGUUCUCUCAAUAAAGCCUUAAUAAAAUUUUCUCAGAAGAA